GCCUAGUUGUAAAACUGCCAGAACAAACAUGUGCAAGUUAAAAAAGGAGAUGUAUUCAAAAACAAAAGAAGGGGAGCAAAAAGGUCUACUCACUUGUAGCUUGACAAACACACCAUACCCCUUCAAGUCCAUCUUAAUGACUGUGACGAUUAGAUUGCUAUUCCAUGACAUUGGUUGGAUGGGGAAAAUUACUUACACACACCUCUAACUGACAUAAUUAAGAAAAGAAAUUUGUUAGGUCUGUCUAAUUGAAAUAGUGAAUUUUAAAAGAUGAUAGCUAAUAUCAGGUUCAUGUGCAACUAUGCCUUAUAUGGAUGCCAACUACUAUAAGGUUCAUGUGCAACUACAAACUGUAGGGAUGCCAACUUGAAUCAGUUUCGUGUAUGAAAGAAACUUGCAUGAUAUAUGGAGCCAACUACUAUGAGGUUCGUGUGCAAUUACAACCGCUAGAGAUACCAACAAAAUAUGUGAAUAUGGAAAAACAAGAUAAUUAAACUGCCAACUAAGUAUGGCCGUAUUGUGCAACUUCCUCAUACUCUUAACCAAGUAGGGAUGCUACAAUGGCCACUAGUACUACAAAAAUGACUAAAUUGGAUAAACUGCAGGAACUGAAAUUGAAUGUCAUGCCUCUCUCUUGGAUGCCCUGCUGUUUCAAGCACUAGUUAUGCAAGCCUACUACUAAUGCAAAAUCAUGUACAGAAAAAAUCGAAAAAGAAAUUGAAAUAUUGGCAACGGCUUGUGUGAAUUACCCAUAAACAACCUCUGGUAUGCAACUUCUACAUAAUUUAACUACGAUCACUAGAGGAAUUUAGUUACAGCCACGAAAAACGAGAACCAAAUCAUGUAGCAUCAGCAAAAUGCAAAAAAUCAUCAUCGGCAGCAGGCGUAUCAUAUAAUCGGCAAAAUGUCAUUGAUUAUUCAGUUAACAAUGAGAGCAAACCAACUGAGCAUCCGUGUGGUAUGCUACUACAAAAACAGUGUGUGCAAUUUGACAGCAAUGCAAGCCAACUGAGCAUACAUGUAUGUGCAAAAAAUACACCCCAUACUGAACAUGCUUUGGGCAGUGUAGUCGACUACCUGAAGGUUCCUGUGCAACUAAAGAACCUGACUAGCCAACUAUGUACUCCUCUGCGUGCAACUUCACCGGACCCGUCUAAAAAACAACUAAAAUUGGACAACUUAUGCAAUGCAGUCAAUCCCCUGACAACUAGCACUUCACCGGAGUCCCGUGCAAACACAGAAAUGGAACAUCGCCCACCCCCGGUGACUCACUCCUGCAGCAACCCCGAGCAGCCGUUGUUGCCGCGCGUGGUUCCUCACUGUCAUCGCCACGCGCGGCAGCAACUUUCCAUCCUCCCGUCGCCCCCUCUGCAUCCUAUCAUAGCGCCCGACAACAGCUCUGCAUCCUCAUGCCGCGCCAACUUAUCAUAUGUGUGUGCAACUAGUCCUGCCAACUAAACAUCAAUGUGUGUGCAACUAGACUACAUUGCAGGCCAACUGAGCAUAUGUGUGUGUGCAACUAAUCCUGCCAACUAAACUGUGUGUGCAACUAGACUACAUUGCAGGCCAACUGAGCAUAUGUGUGUGCAACUAGUACUGCCAACUAAACAUCAAUGUGUAUCAAACUAGAAUACAUUGCAUGCCAAUUGAGAAUAUGUGUGUGCAACCAGUCCUGCCAGUUAAUCAUCAAUGUGUGUCUAGACUACAUUGCAGGCCAACUGAGCAUAUGUGCGUGCAACUAGUCCUACCAACUAAACAUCAAUGCAUGUGCAACUAGACUACAUUGCAGGCAAACUGAGUAUAUGUGUCUGCAAAAACACCUAGAGUGCAUGAACAUGCUUUUAUGCAAUGCAUUCAACUUCCCUACCGUUUUUGUGCAACUACAUAAUCUAACUAGCCAACUACGUAAUGCUCUCCGUGCAGCUACCCAGAUCUGUCGAGGAAACACAUAGGGCGCACCACCACCUAGAAUCUCGUCAUGUAGUCCCGACGCAACACACGCCGGGACCGAAGCAAGAAACCCAUCCCUAUGCCCCACCUACCCACCACAUCCACCGCGACUAGAACCUUGUCGGAAACCGCAGCUGCAGACGCGAAACGCCAAGAUGUGAAACCACAAAACCCGGACCACCACCCCUGAAUCAUCUCCUUCCCAUUCAUCUUUGAUUUUCCUUGCUACAGCAAAUCAAUACUUUUUGAGAAAAAAAAAGAACUCUGAACUUUCAAAUAGAUAUGCUUCUAAACUCAUCUUUGAGACAACAUUCAGGAUAAAUUGAUGCGGGAUACUGUUAUGUCCCAAUUCGACAAUUCCUAAACAAACUGAUAAUCAUAAUUGUCUAUCUACUAUUGCCUACGAAAAAUGCCCCAGUGAUUCAAACACAGUGUCCAUAAUUGCCUCUCAAUCCUUUCUACAAUUCCCAGUACAUGGCCGAACUGCCCAACAAAUUUGAUGGGGAAAAAUUUCUCUUGUGUACCAAUCCCCCUUGCUCUCCCACGUCUUCUCCACACCUCCCCGCUGAAUCAUCUCCCGGACAACGGAAGCAACACACAUGGCUACAUCGAUACUCAAGUGAAGGAGAGAACCACAUGAACAAGUAGUUCGAAAGGGGGCAAACCUUGCGACUUCCAGUCUUGCACGCUGCCGAUGCACAAUCAGUUAUCUCCCGCACCACGCGGAGUCGCCUCUCACACGCCGCGGUCGCACAAGCUCGCGUCGCACCACCGCCUCCUGCUACAUGAGGGUCGCGUGAGCUGUCAAUGUCAAGCGACUUAUCUCCCUCACCAUGGGGGCGCCCUUCGACAGCGAGCGAAGUCCUGCUCCUCCCUCGCCGUGCUUGCAGAUGCUGAGCCGCUCAGCUCUGUUAGCUCGCCGGAUCCAAGAUCCACUGUCGCCGGCACCACGCCGCCGCGCCGACCCGUGUCG
rnacentral:lncRNA from 1 species